GCCGGUGUAGCUCAACUGGCAGAGCAGUGGUAUCGUAAACCACAGGUUGCAGGUUCGAUUCCUGUCAUCGGCUCCA
rnacentral:tRNA from 1 species